GAUCCUCCCACCCUUUGUGUACCUACCUCUGUUGCUUUGGCGGGCCGCGGUUCUCCGCGGCCGCCCCCCUCCCCGGGGGGUGGCCAGCGCCCGCCAGAGGACCAUCAAACUCCAGUCAGUAAACGAUGCAGUCUGAAAAACAUUUAAUAAACUAAAACUUUCAACAACGGAUCUCUUGGUUCUGGCAUCGAUGAAGAACGCAGCGAAAUGCGAUAAGUAAUGUGAAUUGCAGAAUUCAGUGAAUCAUCGAAUCUUUGAACGCACAUUGCGCCCUUUGGUAUUCCGAAGGGCAUGCCUGUUCGAGCGUCAUUACAACCCUCAAGCUCUGCUUGGUAUUGGGCACCGUCCUUUGCGGGCGCGCCUCAAAGACCUCGGCGGUGGCGUCUUGCCUCAAGCGUAGUAGAACAUACAUCUCGCUUCGGAGCGCAGGGCGUCGCCCGCCGGACGAACCUUCUGAACUUUUCUCAAGGUUGACCUCGGAUCAGGUAGGGAUACCCGCUGAACUUAAGCAUAUCAAUAA
rnacentral:rRNA from 2 species